GCUGUGUUGAGAAACAUGGGAAGAUUACGGGUUAAUAUUAUUUUAUCAAAAGGUAGAAUAAAGGACAGCAGGGCAAGAUAAUUUACUAUAUUGGCGAGAGAGUGAUUCACUUGACCCUUGGGAUCUUAUUUGGAUAGAAAUGAAAAAUGAAGACAGGAUAAGACUGAUAAGUAAAAAUAAUAGGGGUGAAGACACUGUGAGAUUGUGAAAAAUAUAAGAAAUUGAGAUUUUUGGAAGGCUACAUGGGGUUAGACACUAGCUCUUUGGAAGGAGGACAGUUUCGAAUAUGGCUGUGAAAGGAGUAGCUAAAGUCUUGGAGGUGUAGACUACUGGAGAUAAGGAGCAAAGGAACUGAGAGAGGCUAGUUUGUUGAAUGGGCUAAGGGCUGAAAUUAACCCAGGAUGAGGAAAAUGCAUGCUCUGAGGAAAUCUCUUCUACAGUCCUGUAUAGCAAGUUCACAGUGUUAUUAGUAGGUAUAAUUCCUUUUUUUUUUAAGAUGGCAGAAAGUUGUAUAAAAAAUAUUGACCUGCUUUUCAUCCAUCAUGAAUAUUUUUAAUCCUUAAAGAGUAAGCUCUACCCCAAGUUCUAGGCUCAGUAUGUGGCGCCUCCCCCAUAUGCUGUGUGUGCACACUGCAAAGACCAACAAGCUCCCUGAUCCUUGGAGCAGGCCUGCCGCCUUCAUGUCCACUCUCCUGAUCAAUCAGCCCCAGUAUUCGUGGCUGAAAGAGCUGGGCCUCCUAGAGGAAAACGAGGGUGUGUAUAAUGGAAGCUGGGGAGGCUGGGGAGAGGUUAUUAUCACUUACUGUCCUGCUAACAACGAGCCUGUAGCAAGAGUCCGUCAGGCCAGUGUUGCAGACUAUGAAGACACCGUAAAAGCAAGAGAAGCAUGGAAAAUCUGGGCAGAUAUUCCUGCUCCAAAACAAGGAGAAAUAGUAAGACAGAUUGGCGAUGCCUUGCGGGAGAUCCAAGUACUAGGAAGCUUGGUGUCUUUGGAGAUGGGGAAAAUCUUAGUGGAAGGUGUGGGAGUAGUUCAGGAGUAUGUGGAUAUCUGUGACUAUGCUGUUGGUUUAUCACGGAUGAUUGGAGGACCUAUCUUGCCUUCUGAAAGACCUUGCCAUGCACUGAUCGAGCAGUGGAAUCCUGUAGGCCUGGUUGGAAUCAUCCCUGCAUUCAAUUUCCCUGUGGCAGCGUAUGGCUGGAACAACACCAUCGCCUUGAUCUGUGGAAAUGUCUGCCUCUGGAAAGGAGCUCCAAUAACUUCCCUGAUUAGUGUGGCUGUCACAAAGAUAAUAGCCAAGGUUCUGGAGGACAACAGGCUGCCUGGUGCAAUUUGUUCCUUGACUUGUGGUGAGCAGAUAGUGGCACAGCAAUGGCCAAAGAUGAACGAGUGAACCUGCUGUCCUUCACUGGGAGCACUCAGGUGGGAAAACAGGUGGCUCUGAUGGUGCAGGAGAGGUUUGGGAGAAGUUUGUUGGAACUUGGAGGAAAUAAUGCCAUUAUUGCCUUUGAAGAUGCAGACCUCAACUUAGUUGUUCCAUCAGCUCUCUUCGCUGCUGUGGGAACAGCUGGCCAGAGGUGUACCACUGCGAGGCAACUGUUUGUGCAUGAAAGCAUCCAUGAUGAGGUUGUAAACAGACUUAAAAAGGCCUAUGCACAGAUCCGAGUUGGGAACCCAUGGGACUCUAAUGUUCUCUGUGGGCCAUUCCACACUAAGCAGGCAGUGAGCAUGUUUCUUGGAGCAGUGGAAGAAGUAAAGAAAGAAGGUGGCACAGUGGUCUAUGAGGACAAGGUUAUGGAUCGCCCUGGAAAUUAUGUAGAACCGACAAUUGUGACAGGUCUUGGCCACAGUGCAUCCAUUGCACACACACAGACUUUUGCUCCGAUUCUCUAUGUCUUUAAAUUCAACAAUGAAGAAGAGGUCUUUGCAUGGAAUAAUGAAGUAAAACAGGGACUUUCAAGUAGCAUCUUUACCAAAGAUCUGGGCAGAAUCUUGCACUGGCUCGGACCUAAAGGAUCAGACUGUGGCAUUGUAAACGUCAACAUUCCAACAAGUGGGGCUGAGAUUGGAGGUGACUUUGAAGGAGAAAAGCACACUGGUGGUGGCAGGGAGUCUAGCAGUGAUGCCUGGAAAAAGUACAUGAGAAGGUCUACUUGUACUAUCAGCUACAGUAAGGACCUUCCUUUGGCCCAAGGAGUCAAGUUUCAGUAAAGGUGUUUUAGAUGAACAUUGCUUAAUUUGAGGUGUUCCAGCAGCUGUUUUUGAAGAAGACAAAGAAAAUUAAAGUUUUCCCUGAAUAAGUGCGUCAUUAUGACUGUGACAUUGACUAAUCCCCCAUGACCCCAAAGCCCUGAUUAAAAAUCAAGAGACUCAUUUUUUAAAAAUCAAAAUAAAAUUGUUACAACAUAGCUAUAUUUACUUAAAAAAAAAAAA